GUUUUGUCUCCUCUAAUCCUAUUGGGAACAGAUGGGAGACUACAGAAAAUCAUGCCAACGUGCCUGGAAAAAAUGCUCCAGUAUCUAUAGCUGCCCGUGUUCUGUUGUACUGCACACACAUCUAACCAUGUGCAAGGCAGACCUGAAGGUUAUUUUCCCAAAUUACUCUUGUAAAGUGGCUUGAAAAGAGUUAGGGUGAGAGUUGUGAACGUUUCAAAACUAUGUUUAUUUCAAAGCUUUCUGGAAAACAAUACAACUUAAAACAUUUAAUUGCUGUUUUUCCUAAACAAUAGUAUUUUGGAGUGUUUUUUUCCUAUUGGACUGAUGUUUUUACUUGGGAUGUAUUUAAAAAGAUGUAGGCUAAUCUGUUUUAAGAGUUGCUAAAUCAAGACUUCUGAUAUUUUUUUGCUUCGAAAGGGGUUUUUUCCCUCUUUCCUGUGGUCUCAGUGCGAGCUAAUGUGGAAAGUGCUUUGAGCAUCCAUGGAACGUGGUUUGCUCAGAGGAGAGAAGAGUUUCAGAACCAAGUUGUGUUUCCAGUGUCCUCAUAUCCAUCAUCUCUUUUCAGCCUGGUCUUCCCUAUCUGUUCUAGUCAUUGACUGCUGUUUCCAAACCAGCAAAUUCCUUGGUGGUCAGGAAUUCCUGGUCUGAUUUAGUGGCUUUGGGCUCUGUGCUGAGAAGCAGCAGGGUGGGUAAGGGGCAGGGGGCCACACGUGACUCUUAAUCCACCAAACAUUAAUAAUGUGACAUGUUCAUUUUUAAAAAGCAUCUAAAAUCCUGAGAAAACCACAGUAAUACCUAACUUACCCUUGUAAGAAGUGUGGCCAGCAGGGCAGGUUGAGGGAGGGGAUUCUCCCCCUCUGCUGCACUCAGGUGAGACCCCACCUACAGUGCUGCCUCAGGCUCUGGGGCUCCCAACAUAAAAGGGACGUGGAGCUGCUGGAGUGAGUCCAGAGGAGGCCAGGGAGAUGCUCCAGGUGCUGGAGCCCCUCUGCUCUGGAAACAGGCUGGGAGAGCUGGGGGUGUUCACCUAGAGAAGAGAAGGCUCCAGGGAGACUUUGGACCCCCUUCUAGGGCCUAAAGGGGCUCCAAGAGAGCUGAAGAGGGACUUUGGGCAAGGGCCUGGAGUGACAGGACAAGGGGGAAUGGCUUCCCACUGCCAGAGGGCAGGGUUGGAUUGAAUAUUGGAAAGGAGUUCUUGGCUGUGAGAGUGGUGAGGCCCUGGCACAGGUUGCCCAGAGAAGUUCUUGCCCCAUCCCUGGAAGUGUUCAAGGCCAGGUUGGACGGGGCUUGGAGCAACCUGGGCUAGUGGAAGGUGUCCCUGCCCAUGGCAGGGGGGGAAAACUGGAUGAUCUUUAAGGUCUCUUCCAACCAAAAACAGUCUAUGAUUACAUGAUUUUACCAGGAUUACUUUGCCCUUUUUGGGAUUUUUCUUACGCUCCUCACCUAGUUGCUCCUUAGUAUCCAAUACUUGAUGGCAGUUUCAAGCUGAUCUCCCCACCUUUACAAUUCCUUUUUCGGUUCAUUGCUGUUGUCACUGUGAUUAUUGUUGUUAUAACAGCAAUUGUUAUUUUCAUAAUCAGAAUGACAAACCAUCUGGGUAUAUUUUGGCUUUUGUGAUUGUAGUUCAGAAGGCUGAGUUAAAAGCAUAACACGUAUUGGGAAUUGGAGGAGGAUGAUGAUAUAAUCCUAUGUUUUUCCCAGGAGUAGCAAGUCAAAUGUGAGUAAGUGUUGGCUGAUCUCCUACUGUUACUAAGCUUUUCUGUAUCUGUUGCAUACCUGGCCAUACUUUUAAGUUUCCCCUUCUCUUUGCCAUCUCAGUAAUGGAACUAGUUGAGAUUGAGGAGCUUUUCUUUUAACAGAAAAGUUUGUCCUCAGUGUUGCAGGGAAAGCCAUUAAAAAUACAAAUGCAAAUUAGUCAUACUUAUUUGUGUGAUUAGACUGACUAAUCAAUGUCUAUAAAGCCUGGCAUUGCCAAUAAAAGUCCUUCAGACUUUUUUUCCUUCUAAUAAUGGCUGGAGACUCUGUUAAUCCAGUAAAAUCUGUUCAACUCAAACUUCUUGCUCACUUGACUCUUGUGGGUUUGUUCUGUUAUAAGUGUGAGGAGCCCACGAAUUUGGCUGGAAAGAGGAAAGUGAUGCUCUCCACAGCAUUUUGGGGAGUCAAGUACCAGCCUGUCUAUUGAUGAGCUUGUUGCAGAUGUUCACACCUGCUCUUUGGUGCUGUAAUUUGCCUCUGUUCAGUUCUUGAAAUUCUCCCUUACUUAGGACCUGAGAAUUACAGGAUAUGGAGGGAGUGGUUGUAUUUCUCGUAGGAUGCUCAGUGUAGAUCAAUUUGUCUCUUAGUGCAACUAAAGUAAUGAGGGCAGGGUGAGUUUAGAGGGUUUUUGGGGGAAGCUUCUUGGAAGUGUUUUGUUUUUUUUUUUUUCUUUUUCUGUAGUAGUUGAGAUUUGUGGUGUUAUAUAGACCUAUUUGGCUGUUGUCCCCACCUCCUUCUGCUUGGGUUGUUGACAAAAUUCCCAUCCUAACAGAAAGAAGGAGAAUUGACAAGAAGUGACUGACUGAAGCUGUAUCUCCUGCCUUGUCUCAGGGGGGCUUCUUGUGAGAAACUGGGAAGCAAAAGAAAGUGAGCCAGAACUGCAGUUUACCACCUGAUCAUCUGUAAACUAAUCAGCUGUAUUUUUCCAGUUAAAAAAAGGGUUGGAUAGCUGAGAUUCUGGCCCUGGAUCUCUCGUGUCUAGAGCAGCAACAACCAACCCCCUCCAGCACUGGCUUGCCCGGGAAAUGGCACACUUGUUUAGUUUCAGGCUUUUCCAGCCAAGGAGCAGCCAUGAGCUUGGGCUCUCUCUGUACCAAACAGGUGGCUGCUUACACCAUCUGUAAGGAACUGGAUUUGUGGGACACUGAAAUGCACCGAGAGAGAGCAGAAACACCUCUAAACAUCUGUCCUCCCUUCAGAGACUGUGCCUUUUCAGGUCUUUACUGGAGACAGAAGCACAGGAGGACUGCAAGAUCUCUGUCCAUUUCCCCAAAAUUCGGGUGCACCAAGCCCACGUGUUGGGACUCUGAUGCUCUGCAGUCACAGCCUCUCAGGAAAGUCCCCACUUUUCCAGGACCUGGAGCACUUGCCAUGUGCCUGCUUGCUGGGACGAUCAGCUCUCCUUAAAGCCUGGUACAACACCUGUGCCUGGGAUGGAAUGAAAUACGACCCUGGAGCUCACCCGGGAUGAGAUAUGCAAAAUAAUUACUCUUGGAUGACAAAGAGGAGCCCUGAGGGCUGUGUUCACAAAAGGAUGCCUUGUUUCUCUUGAAGGUUGGAUCCCUGCCUGCCCUGCUCCCCACUGUUAUCCUGGGCUGGGAAUUUCAGAGCUGAGUUUAUGGCCUGAAACUUGUGACAAUUGCUUUGUCAGAUUUGGUGGCCAAAUAAAUGGUUUGUCCAAUUAA